AUACAAAUUUGUUGAAAAAUUCAAAAAUAUCAAUGUUUGUGGUUUAACCUCUCUUCCUUUAAUUAACUUUGACGAGAAUUUGAAAUCUGAACCAAACUUUGACGGACUUUAGAAUUUUAUACUUUGAUCAUCCAAUGUGAAUCUGCCACGUGGCAACUCUUUCUAUAUCUCCCUCGAGGUUUCCACGUGGUGGGUGGACGUUGCUGAUUGAAGGUAUAGGUUGAAGACGCGGUUGACGACGUGGUUUGGGUUCGCAAGGGCUUAUCUGCGAAUGGUGAUGGAUUCACAAUGCAUGUGGUUUACGUCAAGGUGCAGAUGUUGGUAGCGCUGUUCAGGAUUCGCGAGGGCUACCAUCAUGGUUGUUGUGAUUUGCGUUUAGGGUUUCAUGUGGAAAGGUCACGUUCUGUUCUGCUCCAGAUGCAGGCACUAGUGGAUUCCAACAUUGAACUACACUUCAUCGCAGGUACAUGUCUGUGUUGUGGAUGAAGUGUUGCUUCCAUGGUGGCUGCUGCUUCAGGCGCGCAGUAGGUGUUGAAUGGUUAACGUGUGGGUUCGAACACAGGUGCGUUGUUGUUGGCGUCAUUCUUGCUGAUUGCGAUGGCUGUCCUGUACAUGAUUAUGUCUUCAGCGUCGUCGGUGGCGGCGAGGUCUGAUGGAGGCACUGGAUUUCUCGUGGUAUUAUGGUUGCAGGUAGCAUGGUGGCUAGGGUUCAAAAUUUGCAGGUUGUGUUGGGAGAUCGAAGAUGAUGAUAUGCCAUGAUGUGAUUGGUUCAUAUAUUUGAGUGACGACUGAUGAUAUGGUGGGUUUUGAUUGGACAAUUUAUUGAGUGGAGGAUACACAGGUUGAGUUUAAGUGAUUGGAGGGGUGAAAGUUAGUAAUUUAGGGAGUAUAAUAGUGAAAGCUAAUUGUAUGACCCAAUUAUGAAAAAAUGAACGUAUAUGUAAUUUAGAGGUGCAUUUA